rnacentral:rRNA from 1 species
AAGGCAGCGUGCUACCAUGCAAGUCGAGCGGCAGCGCGGGAGCAAUCCUGGCGGCGAGCGGCGGACGGGUGAGCAAUGCUUGGGAAUCUGCCCAUCAGUGGGGGACAACCCGGGGAAACUCGGGCUAAUACCGCAUACGUUCUGAGGAAGAAAGCAGGGGAUCGCAAGACCUUGCGCUGAUGGAUGAGCCCAAGUCGGAUUAGCUAGUUGGUGAGGUAACGGCUCACCAAGGCGACGAUCCGUAGCUGGUCUGAGAGGACGACCAGCCACACCGGAACUGAGACACGGUCCGGACUCCUACGGGAGGCAGCAGUGGGGAAUAUUGGACAAUGGGGGCAACCCUGAUCCAGCGACGCCGCGUGGGUGAAGAAGGCCUGCGGGUUGUAAAGCCCUUUCGUUGGGGAAGAAAAGUUUCGACCUAAUACGUCGGGACCUUGACGUUACCCAAAGAAGAAGCACCGGCUAACUCUGUGCCAGCAGCCGCGGUAAUACAGAGGGUGCGAGCGUUAAUCGGAAUUACUGGGCGUAAAGCGCACGUAGAUGGCUUUGUAAGUCGGAUGUGAAAUCCCCGGGCUCAACCUGGGAACUGCAUUCGAAACUGCACUGCUCGAAUGUGGAAGAGGGAAGCGGAAUUCCAGGUGUAGCGGUGAAAUGCGUAGAUAUCUGGAGGAACAUCAGUGGCGAAGGCGGCUUCCUGGUCCAACAUUGACAUUCAGUGCGAAAGCGUGGGGAGCAAACAGGAUUAGAUACCCUGGUAGUCCACGCCAUAAACGAUGAGAACUAGAUGUCGGGAGGGUUAGCCUUCCCGGUGUCGCAGCUAA